CAAUAGCGUAUAUUUAAGUUGUUGCAGUUAAAAAGCUCGUAGUCGGAUUUUGGCUGAGAACGAUCGGUCCGCCGUUAGGUGUGCACUGAUUGGUCUCAGCUUCCUGGUGAGGAGGUGUGCUUCACGGCCACUUAGUCACCGUGGUUACUUUGAAAAAAUUAGAGUGUUCAAAGCGGGCUUACGCUUGAAUAUAUUAGCAUGGAAUAACACCAUAGGACUCCUGUCCUAUUUCGUUGGUCACGGGACGGGAGUAAUGAUUAAGAGGAACAGUUGGGGGCAUUCGUAUUUCAUUGUCAGAGGUGAAAUUCUUGGAUUCAUGAAAGACGAACUUCUGCGAAAGCAUUUGCCAAGGAUGUUUUCAUUGA
rnacentral:rRNA from 1 species